ACGCAAGUAGUUCAGUUGGUAGAAUAGAAGGUUCCCCAUCCUUCGAGGUCGUGGGUUCGAGUCCCACCUUGCGUCCCA
rnacentral:tRNA from 1 species